UUCAGGAAUCUCUAUUACAGAAAUAACAACAAAUUUUAUCCAAAGGAAAAAGGCAAGAAAUUAUGUAUGGUUUUCCUGAAAGCACUAUGAUAUGCUGCAAAGACAUUUUUUGCCCUCCUGUAAUGAAACAAAAAAUGGUACAACACUGAAUCCCAAAUGUGCUCUUCUUUCAGUAAUGUAAUAUUACAGAACUCUAGCGAGGCAACUGAUGUUUCUUUCCUUUCAUUUAUUUUCUCUAAAGAUAGUUACUCAGCUCUGUGAGUUGGAACUGGAUGUUCUAUACUGAUGAUUAAAUAACCCAAUUAGUCCUAGGUUUUAAUCACUAAAUAUUCUUGUUGGAGUAUAUUUAGAAUACAUUCUUAUAAUUCCAUUGGCAAUUUCACAGACAAUGAAGAGAAGUAAGUUGGAGGAGAGGGUUUGCCUUCUGCCUAUACCCAACAGUAUUGUAUUUUCUGACAGCUGUAGGCCCUUCAUUCCCAGAAAUUACUCUACUUUGUCAUACUUACUCUAGGGAGGGAGAAGUUGUGUCAGAAAUGGAAGCAUGAAAUAGGGCACUUCAAUGGAUAGAGCAAUUCCAGGAGGGAAUUCUGCACUGAAUGAGUCAUCACCAGACCUCUAUAGUUCACUGCUUGUAUUUGUGUAUAAACAAGUGCAGACUCCAGGAAAAAAAGAUGCCUCUACUACCUCUCUAAGAGCAUGCAUAUUAAGGUCCUCAUCAGACCUCUGCUCUCACACAUGGAAGUAGCCUACUCUCAGCUGCCUUGUUCAGAAAAUCUUGUGAACAGAGGUUUGUUAGUGAGAUUCUUGACAUCGUCUCCAACAAUACCUGAUGGUACCAACCCUAUUAGACUAACUUUAACUGAAUGCAAAAUAUACCACAUAAACAAGAAAGCACCCAGAAGUGCUGGGAGUCAGACACAUUUGUCUUCCUUGCCCAUUACCAGUCAAUGCCCUUGCCACGUUAUUUGGGUCAGGAAGGACAAGCUCACUCCUCUUCUUUCCCUCAUCCCCAAGUAUGGGAUCUAAGAGAAGAAAGGAGAGCAGCAAAACUUUACAGCAGUGUUUUAUGCUUACCCCAGGCACUUGCCCUGAGAGGGCAAGGUUUUCUCCCUGUGUUGAGUUACAGAGAAUUACAGUUACUGAGUUACAGGCCUGAUGCUGAGACCCAUCACACACACUGUUUGAGCUGUUACUCCAGUGCAUGGAAACUAGCGCACAAAUGCAACUUCUGAGGUGCAGAUGAACUUGUGCAAGUACUCAGUGAAGCAAUGCGAUCUUAUUUGCACAUCUGGUACAGGCCAGAGAGAAAUAAUUCAGUCAAAGCAAAAUCAGCAGGGGGUUACAAUAAUUCCUUGAUUAAAAUUUGUGAUUUUUAAACAGACGUAUCUGAUGCAAUGAGAACGAAAGGUAACACACGUUCAUUAACUCACAUAUGGAAUCUCAAAGUAAUGUCUUUCAACUCAGUAAUAAAUCAGAGCUGACAUUUAAUAAAGUCAGUCUCACAAUGUUUCUCAUUUGAUUAUGGCCACAGCGCUUCAGGAAAGCUGCUAGUUGUUUCUCAGUCACUUGUGUGUAUAGAUACCAGUGGCUGUAUUUUCUCUUUUUUUACCUGCAGUCUGGGCUGUUCUGUUACUUUUCCCCAGUGGUUACAUUUGACUGAAAGAAAGGAACUGCCAUCCAAGAUACUGAGAUUUCAGAAUUCUUUCACAGUUGGGGUGAGAAUAAGACAUCUUAGAAUCACUUGCAAACAAAACACUGAGAAAUAUUUUCUUCAUACAUUUUCUUUCUUCCUUCAUAUCAAUAAAGUUGGAGCUGGUGAUUUGUACUUACAUUGUGUUAUGCAGUCAAAAUAGAAAAUAGGAAAUAGAUGCUUGGACCUUUCUGAAAUUAAACAUUGCACCUUUCUGUUAGAAAGACUUAACAAUAAUUAUCCACUGAGAAUUUGACCAAAAAUGACAUUUAUCCGUGUGAUAUUUUCAUUCUGUAGCAUCAGCAUUUUCCAGUUUAAACAAGUAACCUUUGGAAAUUUUGAACUAGCCUUAUCUGAUGCAAGUUAAGCUGUACUGUCAUUACUAUGUGGGGCUCUGUCACUUGUUCACAGGAAGCAGUACCUGCAGAACUUAUCUUUGAGUUUAGAAGACAAGAUUGUGCAUCUCAGUAUGAAGUAUUCAUGAAAGCAGAAGAGAAAUAGAUAAGGGAAAAAAAAAAAAAACCAACACAACAAGCAUAUUCAGGCAUAGCAUAACAGAAGCAGAGAGCAAUGGAACACGGAAUAAACUAUGUAUAUGAAAAUGUGGUGUCCUAUCUAUAAAAAUGCUAACAACUCAUGGGACUAUUGAUAGAUAACACAAGAAGUGUAUGAGCUUUUUGUCCAGAAACUUGCUUGCCUAUGAUUUGGUGUGUGAUACACAAUGCUGUGGGCAGAUGUCUAGAGGAUUUGCUCUUUAGAGUGUUAAGGACACAAAUGUAUGGUAAUUGUAGUUUCUCUGUUGUAAUAUAGUUGAACAAAAUGGUCUAAUAUCUGGGAUACCACUUCUCAGAUGUCUCUGGUACUUGCACAGAAGCCAUUUGAUUUCAUGUUUAUGGAUAUACAUAUACAUACAUUUACAUACAUAUCUAUGGCUCAUGGUGACUUUCUUGUUGAGACUGAACCACAACAGACUACCUUUCUCUGUAACUACAGCACUUGUAGCCUCAUUUGAAACCUUACAUCAAGUAUAGAAAGAUAAUAAGACAGAUUCCGCUAAACUGAUUUCUACUCAAUCACCACUGAGUAGCAGGAAUACUGUCAGCUGCACAGACUCCACUUCAGCACUGGGGAUGGAUGUGGAAGGGAUCUGCUUUCCUUCCUCUCCCCAGCCAAGAAACAGGAGGUGCAGAGAAGCUGCAUGAGGCCACAGGGUCCCCAGAGAGACUCAUAAAAUCUAAUGAACUUCCUUCUUCCCUGCUCCCUUGUCAGAAUUUCCCCUAUUGCUACUACACUUAGUGGCAUUAGGAUCUUUGAGCUACUUAGCUAUUGGCUAUUUAUAUCCUUGUUAUGAAACAUUCAAAUAAUGUUGCCAGUGUCACCUUUACAGCUCUGCCCCCGAGGUCCUUCAGCGCCCUGACACAGGAAUACCGAAGCAGAGAGUCACAAAAUAGUUGAACCCAAAUUCGGAGGUUAUCUCUGCUAACUUCAGGGUACAAUCCUACACUUACAGGCUAAGUAAGUUCCCCUGCAAGUCCUGUGCUGCACAUUGGAUCUUAACAUUACUCUUAUAAAAAAUAACAGUGUAAAAUGAAUGGGAAUAGCUAAAAUUCUUUUUUUUUUCCCUGGGAAAAGAAGCACUGCAAAGAGAUGUAUGUAUAAAUCUAAACACAGGGAAUAAUGUAUUAAAAUGUCAGUACGACUUUUCCUAACAUUAAAUGUGUAUCAGGAAUCUUUUCAAGGAUACUCACUUCAAAGGGCUGUAUGAGUUUGACUCACACUUCUGUUUUUCUAGUUUUGUGCCAUUCAUAUCAAAAUACACUAAAAAUGUAAUAAAACUUUGCAGCUAAAGAAGUAUAAACACAUCCAAGGAGCAUAUGUAUAUGUUUCUAUUAAUGACUUACUUAUGUGGUGCCACAUUUAUUAUAUUCAGGAUCAAAAUAUUCUCCUGCUCUUUUUUUCCCCCCAAAAUGCAUCCUACAUUGCUCUUCACUCAGCCCCUGCUGAAGAGAGGCAUCCCUGACCAAAGCACUCAUAGCCACAGAUAGUUGUCUUUGGACUGUCUUUCUGUAUUAUCUCUGUACAAUUCUGAACACAAUGGCUCUUCCUUCUGUGAUAACGAAAAUGACAAAUUACAUGUCAGGUCAUUUGGGGGCAAUCACCGCUUCCUCUGAACCAGAAGAAUGAAAGAAUAGUACCACAUGGAAAGUUGUGAUCUCCUAGAAAGAAUAAGCAGCAAACUGGAUGUACUGAGCACGCAGCCUCUCUCACCUUCACGUACACAAACUGUAGCAGAACUGAGCAGAUGAAAUAAAUGAUCUUAAAAAGACAAACUAGGCAAGAACUUAUUUUGCUGGAACUUGAUGAGUGUGCAGAAGAAAUUGGUAUGGGAACUAAAAAUUGUUCCUAUUGAUAAGGUAAGAACAUAUAAUUUCUGUAGAAGAAACACUUAAAAAGAGACCUUUUUUUGGUAAAGUAUGAUGUAAGUCUGCAAGUCUAUCUCCCAGGGAAAAAACCAACCAUAUCCAAAGCCCACUUAGGGCUUCUGCUGGUGACCAGCCCUAGCUAGGUCUCUAGCACUGAUUCCGGUUACAGGUGAAGAUUAAUUGAACCUUUUUGUUUAGCUUUUUUUGUUUUGUUUUGUUUUGUUUUUUUCAAUCUUACUUUGGGGAUAAAACUUUGGAUAGUCAUGGAUAAAAUAAAAGCCAGAAAACAAUCUUACAUGUUCAUGAAAGUACAUGUAGCCUUAAAUACCUGAGUCCAGUAUUUCCUGUUCAAAGAAUUCUGGAUAUAGCUCCCUCUGCAAAACAAAAUACAGAACAAACUUUAAGUCAUUGGUGACAAAUACAGAUGAAUUUAUCUGUGCCACGCUGGGCACUCCUCAGUCCAGUUAGCUGUACUAUGGCAGAAAUGGCACAACCAUUACCAUUUUACAUUUAUCCAUUCAGUGGAGUCAGUGCCUAAACUCAAUUCCCUGAGAUCAUCUCCACAUUGUCAAAAAGGUUUCUGACUGGCUGCUUUUCUAUGCAGGGUUGUCGUGCCAGGCCACUGCUCUAGUUAACUACUGAUAGAAGAAUCAAUUACUGAUAGAAGACACCAUUGCUAUCCAUUCUCCCUUGCCUUUAGGAGCACUUUUUGUUUCCUUUUAAAGUAGGUACUGUAACUAUUCCUCAGAAUCUUUCAAUAAGAAUGAUCACCAGACAGCUUUAGUGCUGCACGUGCUUUAGUCAUGCAAGACUUUUCUCAUUCUGCUCUGGAAUUUUCAUCACAUUCAUCUCAACAGAAGAUGAGAACAUGGUUUCCUGACUGCUUUGCAGUAACGCCUAGCACUGAAAACACAUAUGCUUUCCGACUGCCAGAUAAAAAGAGGCAGAAUGUCCUGUUUAACACUACCUCACCAGAAACACAGGUUGGACAAGCCUUCCUGAUUCACUUUUGUUCACAACUGUUAUUGCAGUAUUUUUAAAGACUUUCCUUAUCCCAUGGACAAACUGCAUUUUUAGAAUUAUUUUUAACAAAUUAUUGUUCCAGAAUUGCUUCUUGUGAAAAGAUGGUGAACAGUUUGAAAGAGCGCAGGAUCUUUGUGAGCUCCUGCAUGACUGUCUGGCAGCAGGACUUCCUAUCCACUAGGAAUUUGAUUAAAGUAAGACUCAUCAAUUUAAACAGUCAAAUUCCCCAGCUGCCCAUGCUAAAGACAAAAGGGGAUCCAAUUAAUUAAUCACAGCCUGAAGGAGCAUAAUUAAUUAUAAGUUUUACCAAUAUCAACUUCCUGACUGUAAGAGAGCUUGGAACACAGAUGUCUAACCAAGAAAACAGCUCUGUGAAUCUGACUGUUUCCCUUGUUCUUUAAGUGAUGGUAAGAGGAAGGAAAAAGAAAGCUAAACCAGUGUAUUUGAUUAAUGUAGUUGACAAAUCUGCCAAAAACAAACAACCAACAGCAACAGCAAAAACCAAAACAGCAGUAGGGAAUGUUCUUUGAAAUUGCUUCUGGCUUCAAAUGUAAAUACACCUUUCCUUCUAACCUGAUUUUGUUAUGCAAUUUACGGCAGUGACACCAGUUAGUCAGAGAAAUGAAGAGCUGCAAAGGACUUCAAGAGGUCACCUAGACUGUCCUCUUCAAUCUAGGACAGAAUUAAUUCCAUCUGGAUGCACAGACAUAUUUUUAAACACAUUUUUGAAGCUUGUGUCACCAGAUAUUCUACCACUUUCCUGCAUUUCCUACCGGUAUCAAAAGAAUAUUUUCCUAAUACUUAACCUCAUUUUCUGUGCUGUAAGUUAAGCCAAUUAUUACUUACCCUGCCUUUGAGGAAGAGGAACAGAUUAGCAAACCACGUUUUUACUGAACAGCAAAUUCCAACUUCCAAAAUCCCAAGUCAGAGCAAAAAGCCAAAAUGCCAUCAUUUUCCUCAAAAUAGAACUGUCUUACCUCAAAUUAAGUUGAUCAAAUAGAUUUGAAGAACAUCUAAUCAUUUGUCUAAUUAUCCUUUCAUAUGAUCACCUAAACAAAGAAUCUGCAUGUAAUCAUUCAAAGAGGAUCUUUUAACACUAUCAGAAUGGAACAAGAAAGCUGAAAUGUUUCUUCUUUCAUGCUAGUGAGAAUUUACAUGCCUAUGACUUGUUUG
ensembl:lncRNA